rnacentral:rRNA from 1 species
UACAGAGGGGGCAAGCGUUGUUCGGAAUUACUGGGCGUAAAGGGCUCGUAGGUGGCCCACUAAGUCGGACGUGAAAUCCCUCAGCUUAACUGGGGAACUGCGUCCGAUACUGGAUGGCUCGAGUUUGGGAGAGGGAUGCGGAAUUCCAGGUGUAGCGGUGAAAUGCGUAGAUAUCUGGAGGAACACCGGUGGCGAAGGCGGCAUCCUGGACCAACACUGACACUGAGGAGCGAAAGCCAGGGGAGCAAACGGG